rnacentral:rRNA from 1 species
UACGUAGGGUGCAAGCGUUGUCCGGAAUUAUUGGGCGUAAAGAGCUCGUAGGCGGUUUGUCGCGUCUGCUGUGAAAACUCGGGGCUCAACUCCGAGCUUGCAGUGGGUACGGGCAGACUAGAGUGCGGUAGGGGAGACUGGAAUUCCUGGUGUAGCGGUGGAAUGCGCAGAUAUCAGGAGGAACACCGGUGGCGAAAGCGGCUCACUGGACCACAACUGACGCUGAUGCACGAAAGCUAGGGGAGCAAACAGG